AGUGACGUCAGAGAGCCCGUGGCCGGCCCUGGGUCCCACCGCUGCCGGCCCAGCGCUUUGGGGAGUGACUUCCGGCCAUGCGGGGCCUCUACCGCUGCCAUCGCGGUCCCGGUCUCCUGAAGUGGAACCCGGCUUGGAGUCGAGCGCGACCCCUCGCCCGUGGGCGCAGGCGAUCGAGUAAGGGUGGGGCGGGCCUCAAACCCGGAUCAGAACCCGCCCUGACCGGCGCAGAGAUACGGGACGCAGCCUAAGCAAGGCCCGGGAAGAAGUUGGGUUUCCCUGCCAUCCUUCCUGCCCCAGCCCCUCAUCCUCAACUCACCAUCAACCCUUCCACGAUCCCAAAUCGCUCGUGGAUGACUUUGGCGAGGGGAGCCAAACAGUUGGUGGUGCAGGACGCGUUGCUGAAACAGCCAAGGUGUGCACGGACACUGUGAGACCCUCAGCUCCUGCAAUAGGAAGCUGGCUGCCAAAGGCCAGGAGGGUCCCUGAAAACAGACACUGCAUUAAAGAAAAAGCUCCUGGAGGACUCCUGAAGCCUGAGGCAGCCUUGGGGCAGCAGUGGCUCAUGGUUUACAUUGGAAAGGUAAGGGAGGUUUCUGGUUUCCUGUUUUAUAAAUUUAUGUUUUUACUUGGUAUUUUGACAAACAUUUGUAUUUGAAGCACACUAAACAUCUAGUAUUGCCGUUUUCUACUUGGCUUUAGCAAACAAGCAUUAAGUGAAUAAACUGUUCCACUUUCUUCCUUCCCAGGUUUAUCAUGAGUAACCGGGUGCUUUGCUUCUGUGAUUCUUGGCCAGUGUCGGUCUGUUUCCUUUGCCAUUGAGCCUGCUCCCCUCAAUGGGGGGUUCAAUCAAUGUUUGUGGGGUUUGUUUGUUUUGAGACAGGGUCUUCCUCUGUCGCCCAGGCUGGAGUGCAGUGGUGCAAUCAGAGCUCACUGCAGCCUUGAUCUUCCUGGCUCCGGCCAUCCUCCUGCCUUGGCCUCCCGAGUAGCUGGGACUACAGGCGCACACCACCAUGCCAAGCUAAUUUUUAAAUUUUUUUGUAGAGAUGGGGUCUCACUUUUGUUGCCCAGGGUGCUUUAGAACCCCUGGGCUCAAGUGAUCCUUGACCUCCCACAGUGCUGGGAUUACAGGUGUGAGCCACCGUGCCUGGCCUCAUGGGUUUUCUUUGUUUUGUUUUGUUUUGUUUUUGAGACAGAGUCUCACUCUGUCACUCAGGCUGGAGUGCAGUGGCACGAUUUUGGCUCACUGCAACCUCCACCUUCCGGGUUCAAGCGAUUCUCCUGCCUCCGCCUCCCGAGUAGUUGGGGUUACAGGCAUGCGCUACCACACCUGGCUAGUUUUUUAUUGUUGUUGUUUUUUGUAUUUUUAGUGGUGACGGGGUUUGCUCUGUUGGCCAGGCUGGUCUCAAACUCCUGACCUCAGGUGAUCCCCACUUCAGCCUCCCAAAGUGCUGGGAUGACAGGCAUGAGCCUCUGCACCUGGCCUCGUGUUUUUUUUUUAGUUAGCCAUUUUAUACGUGUUUACUGAACACCUGUCCUGUGCCCAUAUUCUAAGUGCCUUACCUGCAUUAAACUCAUGUAACCUUCACAACCCG
rnacentral:lncRNA from 1 species